rnacentral:rRNA from 1 species
AUUGAACGCUGGCGGCAUGCUUUACACAUGCAAGUCGAACGGUAAGAGGUUAAGCUGACGAGUGGCGAACGGGUGAGUAAUGCAUCGGAACGUGCCCGGUCGUGGGGGAUAACGCAGCGAAAACUGCGUUAAUACCGCAUACGAUCUAAGGAUGAAAGCGGGGGACCGUAAGGCCUCGCGCGAUCAGAGCGGCCGAUGUCAGAUUAGGUAGUUGGUGGGGUAAAGGCUCACCAAGCCAACGAUCUGUAGCUGGUCUGAGAGGACGACCAGCCACACUGGGACUGGGACACGGCCCAGACUCCUACGGGGGGCAGCAGUGGGGAAUUUUGGACAAUGGGCGAAAGCCUGAUCCAGCAAUGCCGCGUGCAGGAAGAAGGCCUUCGGGUUGUAAACUGCUUUUGUACGGAGCGAAAAGGUCUCCUCUAAUACAGGGGGCUCAUGACGGUACCGUAAGAAUAAGCACCGGCUAACUACGUGCCAGCAGCCGCGGUAA